GGGAGGCGGGGAGGGGGCUCUUCGGGAGGAACAGCCUCGUGGGGGUCCUUCCCGCAGUGCUGCUCCUUUAAGGCCAAGCCCCGCCUCUCUUUGGUUCCAGGGUGACGUCACGGCAAGGCCAGCCCCGCCCCGAUCCCUUGGAAACAGGCAGGCAGAGGGGAGGGGGGCCUCCGCGGGCGGAAGUGAGGGGGCGCUUCCGGUUGGGCCCAGCCGAGGGAGAGGCGCCAACUCUUCGCGUGUUCCUCGGGAGCCUCGCGCGGACUCAGAACCCGGACCCUUCCCCCGGCAGAGAAGGCUGUCCUGCGGAAGGAGGGAGGCUGCAGGGUGGGAGUGGCAGAAGAGGCUCCAGGCUGAAGUGGAAAAGAACCUGCAGGUGCAGAAAGGUGAGGCGGACUUGGGAGUUGAAAAAGCCAUCCUCAGCUUAUACUUGGGUGCUUUCCUGCCAGGACCCUCACCUCUCCGCACAGCAACCCAGCUCUCCUUCCUCUUCUGCUCUCUUGUGCAGUGCUCACCUUCCUCUCUUCCUUUCUCGACGCAGUGCACACCUUCCUCUCCUCUUUCAACGCAGUGUGCACCUUCCUCUCCUCUCUCGACGCGGUGCGCACCUUCCUUUCCUCCUCUCUCGACGUGGUGCGUACCUUCCUUUCCUCCUCUCAACGCAGUGCGCACCUCUCUCCUCUCUCGGUGCAGUGUGUACCUUCCUCUCCUCCUUUCUCGAUGCAGUGUGCACCUUCCUCUCCUCUCUCGACGCAGUGCGCACCUUCCUCCUCUCUCGAUGCAGUGCGCACCUUCCUCUCCUCUCUCGGUGCAGUGUGUACCUUCCUCUCCUCCUUUCUCGACACAGUGUGCACCUUCCUCUCCUCUCUCGACGCAGUGCACACCUUCCUCUCCUCUCUUGACGCAGUGCGCACCUUCCUCUCCUCUCUCGGUGCAGUGUGUACCUUCCUCUCCUCCUUUCUCGACGCAGUGCGCACCUUUCUCUCCUCUCUUGACACAGUGUGCACCUUCCUCUCCUCUCUCGACGCAGUGUGCACCUUCCUCUCCUCUCUCGACGCAGUGUGCACCUUCCUCUCCUCUCUUGACGCAGUGCGCACCUUCCUCUCCUCUCUCGGUGCAGUGUGUAACUUCCUCUCCUCCUUUCUCGAUGCAGUGCGCACCUUUCUCUCCUCUCUUGACACAGUGUGCACCUUCCUCUCCUCUCUCGACGCAGUGUGCACCUUCCUCUCCUCUCUCGACGCAGUGUGCACCUUCCUCUCCUCUCUCGACGCAGUGUGCACCUUCCUCUCCUCUCUCGACGCAGUGUGCACCUUCCUCUCCUCUCUCGAUGCAGUGCGCACCUUCCUUUCCUCCUCUUGACACAGUACGUACAUUCCUCUCCUCUCUUGGUGCAGUGUGUACCUUCCUCUCCUCCUCUCUCAACGCAGUGUGCACCUUCCUUUCCUCCUCUUGACGCAGUACGUACAUUCCUCUCCUCCUCGGUGCUCGUCUUUUCCACUUUUCCUUAUUCCUUUACACACAGCAUAUCCCCCAAAAUGUAUACUGAAAAUAAGCUAUGGUGAUUAUUGGAAGCAAAUUUACAUUGAAGGAGGUUAGAAUAAUGAUUUAAUCAGAGUUGGGCAGCCUUAAAUCUUAAAUUCCAGUUGUAUGUAAAUAUUUAAAAACAUUUAACCUACUGAUGCCUCAAUAAUAUAAUUUUAUUGCUAUCUACCCCACCUUUCUCUACCCAGAAGGGGACUCAUUGUUAAGAUACGACAUGAAGACAAAAUAUUAAUUAAUUAUAUCAGUAUUCAACAGGCUUUUAAACAUUAUUAGUUUUUUUUCGUGUCAGGAGCGACUUGAGAAACUGCAAGUCACUUCUGGAGUGAGAGAAUUGGCCGUCUGCAAGGACGUUGCCCAGGGGACGCCCGGAUGUUUUGAUGUUUUUACCAUCCUUGUGGGAGGCUUCUCUCAUGUCCCCGCAUGGAGCUGGAGCUGAUAGAGGGAGCUCAUCCACGCUCUCCCCGGGUGGGAUUCGAACCUGGCAGCUUUCAGAUCAGCAGCCCAACCUUCAAGUCACAAGGCUUUAACCCACUACUCCACCGGGGGCUCAUUAUUACAGUAAUUUAUUUCUUAUUACAGUAAUUUAUUUCUAUCAUUUCUAGAGAUAUGUGUUCAGCCUUAUAUAAAUUAAAUAAAUCAUUAUUACAGUAAUUUAUAUAAGGCCGAACACAUAUCUCUAGAAAACAUUGAGAAUUAUUUAAUUCAGCGAAAGAUGCCAAAAAUAAAUGAAACACAAAAAGAAAUGUCCACAGUUCACAGUCUGUUAUACCUGCAGCUUUGCUGCAUUGCUGGAGUUCAAUCAGUAGGGUUUUAUUUUAUUUGAUGCAGAGAAUCUUUGGGCACUGUCCCCUUUGUACCUAAGGAGGGAUUGUUCAUUGUUGGGCAAGUGUUAAAAUGUUUGUCACCAGGCAUUGGGCACCUUCCCUCUUCCCCUGGGUUUGUUAUAGCAUGAGUCUUGUGCUUCAUGUUUCAUGAGAUCUUUCUCUGUUCAACUCCUGAAGAGAUUUCCUCUCUUUCUCUGGCAGGUAACUUCUGAACAAGUUCUGCGAAGAUCACCUUGUGAGAGCUUUGCCCGAGGAGUGCUGUAAGUCUAAAGUAACUUCAAGAUACAAAGCAAUGACAAGAAGAAAAAAUAAGUAGUAGAAAAAUAUAUUUCAAGCUGUGUAAUUAAGGGGGGAAAUAAGAUUGUGCUGAAGAAAGAGACGCUUGCUGAAAGUGAGCAGAAGGUAAAGUAAUACAAAGACUGCUGUUCGGGAGGUUAUAUCUGUGAACCCCUGGCAUGAUAUU
ensembl:lncRNA